UACCUAUAUAACUACCUACUAUAUAACUACCUACUAUAUAACUACCUACUAUAUAACUACCUACUAUAUAACUACCUAUAUAACUACCUACUCGGUCACACGGAACACACAGUCCUGUUUUCUUAUUCUAGUUAUUAGGAGAGUGUUAUAGUUCAUGUUUGAUUUUAUUUAUUUUUCAUGCAUUUACAUGCACGCUAGUAGUCCAUGAGCCAGGGGGCCUGUCGGGCUCACCUGGGCAGAGGGUUAUAGACUGGUUAUAGACUGGUUAUAGACUGGUUAUAGACUGGGUUAUAGACUGGGUUAUAGACUGGUUAUAGACUGGUUAUAGACUGGUUAUAGACUGGUUAUAGACUGGUUAUAGACUGGGUUAUAGACAGGGUUAUAGACAGGGUUAUAGACAGGGUUAUAGAGGGUUUAGGCUAGGGAUAGGAUACAGGGUUAUAGGCAGGGUUAUAGACAGGGUUAUAGACAGGGUUAUAGAGGGUUUAGGCUAGGAAUAGGAUACAGGGUUAUAGACAGGGUUAUAGACAGGGUUAUAGACAGGGUUAUAGAGGGUUUAGGCUAGGGAUAGGAUACAGGGUUAUAGACAGGGUUAUAGACCAGGGUUAUAGACAGGGUUAUAGAGGGUUUAGGCUAGGGAUAGGAUACAGGGUUAUAGACAGGGUUAUAGACAGAGUUAUAGACAGGGUUAUAGGCAGGGUUAUCGAGGUUAUAGACAGAAUUAUAGACAGGGUUAUAGGGGUUUUAGGCUAGGGAUAGGAUACAGGGUUAUAGACAGGGUUAUAGACAGGGUUAUAGAGGGUUUAGGCUAGGGAUAGGAUACAGGGUUAUAGACAGGGUUAUAGACAGAGUUAUAGACAGGGUUAUAGGGGGUUUAGGCUAGGGCUAGGAUACAGGGUUAUAGACAGGGUUAUAGACAGGGUUAUAGACAGGAUUAUAGACAGGGUUAUAGACAGGGUUAUAGACAGGGUUAUAUGCAGGGUUAUAUGCAGGGUUAUAUGCAGGGUUAUAGAGGUUCUAGGCAGGGUUAUAGAGGUUCUAGGCUAGGGACAGGAUAUAUGUUAUAGACAGGGUUAUAUGCAGGGUUAUUAUAGACAGGGUUAUAGUAGAGGUAUACUCAGUAGCAAGCUGACCCAGCUAAUUAGUUAGGUAGUGUAUACCCAGUAGCCAGUAGUUAGCUGACCUAGCUUAUUAGUUAGGUAGUGUAUACCCAGUAGUUAGCUGACCUAGCUAAUUAGUUAGGUAGUGUAUACCCAGUAGUUAGCUGACCUAGCUAAUUAGUUAGGUAGUGUAUACCCAGUAGUUAGCUGACCUAGCUAAUUAGUUAGGUAGUGUAUACCCAGUAGUUAGCUGACCUAGCUAAUUAGUUAGGUAGUGUAUACCCAGUAGCCAG
rnacentral:lncRNA from 1 species